rnacentral:rRNA from 1 species
AGCGAACGCUGGCGGCAGGCUUAACACAUGCAAGUCGAACGGGCAUAGCAAUAUGUCAGUGGCAGACGGGUGAGUAACGCGGGGGAACGUACCUUUUGGUUCGGAACAACACAGGGAAACUUGUGCUAAUACCGGAUAAGCCCUUACGGGGAAAGAUUUAUCGCCGAAAGAUCGGCCCGCGUCUGAUUAGCUAGUUGGUAGGGUAAUGGCCUACCAAGGCGACGAUCAGUAGCUGGUCUGAGAGGAUGAUCAGCCACAUUGGGACUGAGACACGGCCCAAACUCCUACGGGAGGCAGCAGUGGGGAAUAUUGGACAAUGGGCGAAAGCCUGAUCCAGCCAUGCCGCGUGAGUGAUGAAGGCCCUAGGGUUGUAAAGCUCUUUUGUGCGGGAAGAUAAUGACGGUACCGCAAGAAUAAGCCCCGGCUAACUUCGUG